rnacentral:rRNA from 1 species
UACGUAGGGUGCGAGCGUUAAUCGGAAUUACUGGGCGUAAAGCGUGCGUAGGCGGCCACCGCAAGUCGACUGUGAAAUCUCCGGGCUUAACCCGGAAAGGUCAGCCGAUACUGCGGGGCUAGAGUGCAGAAGGGGCAACUGGAAUUCUCGGUGUAGCGGUGAAAUGCGUAGAUAUCGAGAGGAACACCUGCGGCGAAGGCGGGUUGCUGGGCUGACACUGACGCUGAAGCGCGAAAGCUAGGGGAGCGAACGGG